CACGAACGCUGGCGGCUUGCCUAACACAUGCAAGUCGAACGAGACCUUCGGGUCUAGUGGCGCACGGGUGCGUAACGCGUGGGAACCUGCCCUUAGGUUCGGAAUAACUCCCCGAAAGGGGUGCUGAUACCGGAUAAUGUCUUCGGACCAAAGAUUUAUCGCCUUUGGAUGGGCCCGCGUUGGAUUAGCUAGUUGGUAGGGUAAAAGCCUACCAAGGCGACGAUCCAUAGCUGGUCUGAGAGGAUGAUCAGCCACACUGGGACUGAGACACGGCCCAGACUCCUACGGGAGGCAGCAGUGGGGAAUAUUGGACAAUGGGCGAAAGCCUGAUCCAGCAAUGCCGCGUGAGUGAUGAAGGCCUUAGGGUUGUAAAGCUCUUUUACCCGGGAUGAUAAUGACAGUACCGGGAGAAUAAGCUCCGGCUAACUCCGUG
rnacentral:rRNA from 1 species